GUAAAGUGCACCCUUUUACUCAGGCCACCAGAUCUUCUGAGUCCAGCAGUGGAGCAGACAGAUCCUUUGCCUUGGCACCCUGACAUCUGUGUUUAAUAAAACCACUGUUUCCAGGCAUCUUCUGAGGAAAACAUUAAAAGCAUAAGGCUUUCUAAAUAUCAAAUAGAUACAUAUUUGGAAUGCUUGAUUCAUCCUUAAAUAUUCUGGCC